rnacentral:lncRNA from 1 species
UGGUGGUACAUCCAGAGGAUUCGUUGGAAGCUAAAUAUGCCAUUGUGGGGAGGUUGCUGUGUUGAGAGUGGCAAAAACCGUUAAGAAUGAGGGGAAGCAAUUAUGGGGCUGCCCUAAUUACAAGGUUUUUAGUUCAAUUUUUGUGGUAAAUUGUUCUGGUGAUUAAUGAAAUGUUAAUGAUUGGAUACUUUGAACAACGGACAAUAAAUGAAGAACUGA